UCUCUCUCUCUGUUUCCUACUAACUAUCCCCAGCCAGUCCCUGUUAUAUAUUGAAGGUACAGUCCAGGUAAAAUGUUGGCUGUAACAGCACAUUCAGCAUCAAAGCCUUUUUUCCCUUAAGGGUUAAUUAAAUAGUUUUUCCCCUGACAGUAUAAGUAACAGGCAGCCAUUAGAUUUCAGUCAGUUCGGGCACAUUGUGCUGUAUGAGAAUUCCAAUCCUUAAUGUCAGUGUCCAUUACCCAUAAU